ACCACCGGCGGACGGCUCAGUAACACGUCGGUAACCUACCCUCGGGAGGGGGAUAACCCCGGGAAACUGGGGCUAAUUCCCCAUAGGCCUGAGGUACUGGAAGGUCCUCAGGCCGAAAGGGACUUAUGUCCGCCCGAGGAUGGGCCGGCGGCCGAUUAGGUAGUUGGUGGGGUAAUGGCCCACCAAGCCGAAGAUCGGUACGGGCUGUGAGAGCAGGAGCCCGGAGAUGGACACUGAGACACGGGUCCAGGCCCUACGGGGCGCAGCAGGCGCGAAACCUCCGCAAUGCGGGAAACCGCGACGGGGGGACCCCGAGUGCCGUGGCAACGCCACGGCUUUUCCGGAGUGUAAAAAGCUCCGGGAAUAAGGGCUGGGCAAGGCCGGUGGCAGCCGCCGCGGUAAUACCGGCGGCCCGAGUGGUGGCCGCUAUUAUUGGGCCUAAAGCGUCCGUAGCCGGGCCCGUAAGUCCCUGGCGAAAUCCCACGGCUCAACCGUGGGGCUUGCUGGGGAUACUGCGGGUCUUGGGACCGGGAGAGGCGGGGGGUACCCUUGGGGUAGGGGUGAAAUCCUAUAAUCCCAGGGGGACCGCCAGUGGCGAAG
rnacentral:rRNA from 1 species